rnacentral:sRNA from 1 species
CUGAGAAAAAACCCCCCUCCUCUUCUGGUAGACUAUAAAACAGUUUUCAAAGAUAUCCUUCACACUGGGC